rnacentral:rRNA from 1 species
GAUGAACGCUGGCGGCGUGCCUAAUACAUGCAAGUCGAGCGAACUGAUUAGAAGCUUGCUUCUAUGACGUUAGCGGCGGACGGGUGAGUAACACGUGGGCAACCUGCCUGUAAGACUGGGAUAACUUCGGGAAACCGAAGCUAAUACCGGAUAGGAUCUUCUCCUUCAUGGGAGAUGAUUGAAAGAUGGUUUCGGCUAUCACUUACAGAUGGGCCCGCGGUGCAUUAGCUAGUUGGUGAGGUAACGGCUCACCAAGGCAACGAUGCAUAGCCGACCUGAGGGGGUGAGCGGCCACACUGGGACUGAGACACGGCCCAGACUCCUACGGGAGGCAGCAGUAGGGAAUCUUCCGCAAUGGACGAAAGUCUGACGGAGCAACGCCGCGUGAGUGAUGAAGGCUUUCGGGUCGUAAAACUCUGUUGUUAGGGAAGAACAAGUACGAGAGUAACUGCUCGUACCUUGACGGUACCUAACCAGAAAGCCACGGCUAACUACGUGCCAGCAGCCGCGGUAAAAC